CCUACGGGAGGCAGCAGUGGGGAAUAUUGCACAAUGGGGGAAACCCUGAUGCAGCGACGCCGCGUGAGUGAAGAAGUAUUUCGGUAUGUAAAGCUCUAUCAGCAGGAACGAGACAAGACGGUACCUGACUAAGAAGCCCCGGCUAACUACGUGCCAGCAGCCGCGGUAAUACGUAGGGGGCAAGCGUUAUCCGGAAUCACUGGGUGUAAAGGGAGCGUAGACGGCUGAGCAAGCAUGAAGUGAAAGGCGGGGGCCCAACCCCCGGACUGCUUUGGGAACUGUACGGCUGGAGUACAGGAGAGGUAAGUGGAAUUCCUAGUGUAGCGGUGAAAUGCGUAGAUAUUAGGAGGAACACCAGUGGCGAAGGCGGCUUACUGGACUGUAACUGACGUUGAGGCUCGAAAGCGUGGGGAGCAAACAGGAUUAGAUACCCCUGUAGUC
rnacentral:rRNA from 1 species